UGUAGUUUCGGUAGGUUUAGA
rnacentral:piRNA from 1 species